rnacentral:rRNA from 1 species
GGCGAGAAGUAUGCGGAAUGCGUGGUGUAGCGGUGAAAUGCAUAGAUAUCACGCAGAACCCCGAUUGCGAAGGCAGCAUACCGGCGCCCGACUGACGCUGAGGCACGAAAGUGCGGGGAUCAAACAGGAUUAGAUACCCUGGUAGUCCGCACAGUAAACGAUGAAUGCUAGCUGUCCGGGGGGAUUGACCCCUGGGUGGCACAGCGAAAGCGUUAAGCAUUCCACCUGGGGAGUACGCCGGCAACGGUGAAACUCAAAGGAAUUGACGGGGGCCCGCACAAGCGGAGGAACAUGUGGUUUAAUUCGAUGAUACGCGAGGAACCUUACCCGGGCUCAAACGCCGAAGGGACAUUCCCCGAAAGGGGAUUGGCCAGCAAUGGUCUUCGGCGAGGUGCUGCAUGGUUGUCGUCAGCUCGUGCCGUGAGGUGUCGGCUUAAGUGCCAUAACGAGCGCAACCCCCACCGACAGUUGCUAACUGGUCAAGCAGAGGACUCUGUCGGGACUGCCGGCGCAAGCUGCGAGGAAGGCGGGGAUGACGUCAAAUCAGCACGGCCCUUACGUCCGGGGCGACACACGUGUUACAAUGGCAGGUACAGCGGGAUGCCAUGGGGCGACCCAGAGCGGAACCCGAAAACCUGUCUCAGUUCGGAUUGGAGUCUGCAACCCGACUCCAUGAAGCUGGAUUCGCUAGUAAUCGCGCAUCAGCCACGGCGCGGUGAAUACGUUCCCGGGCCUUGUACACACCGCCCGUCAAGCCAUGGGAGCCGGGGGUGCCUGAAGGCCGUGACCGCGAGGAGCGGCCUAGGGUAAAACUGGUGACUGGGGCUAAGUCGUAACAAGGUAACCGUAA